rnacentral:lncRNA from 1 species
UCCAGUUAACAUUACAUACAGUCUGCAGUUAAAGUUUAUAAAACAUUUAUUAGAUUCAUAAACUAUCCUGGAACUUGGAAGCUUCUUUCAAUCAAAAGACAGUAUCGAGAGGGAAAUUUUUAUUGAUGUUUUUCCUCAUUUUUGUUGAGUCUGCGAUUAACAGCAAAAGUAGGCGAGACACUGGGUUCCGUGGAACCCUUACAAAUUUUUUAAACUAAAUACCCCAGUGAUGAUUGUGACCAAGUUUGGUUAAAUUUGGCCCAGAGUUUCAGAGGAGAAGAUUUUUGUAAAAGAUAACGACGACGGACGCCAAGUGAUCUCCAAACUACCUUGACCAAAAACUUUAACCUGAAACUCACACGUUCAUUUUCUAUGUUCAAUGGACCGUGAAAUUGGGGUCAAAAGUCUAAUUUGGCUUUAAAAUUAGAAAGAUCAUAUCAUAAGCAACAAGUGUACUAAGUUUCAAGUUGAUUGGACUUCAGCUUCAUCAAAAACUACCUUGAUCAAAAACUUUAACUGAAACUCCAACUUUCAUUUUCUAUGUUCAAUGGACCGUGAAAUUCGGGUCAAAAGUCUAAUUUGGCUUUAAAAUUAGAAAGAUCAUAUCAUAAGCAACAAGUGUACUGAGUUUCAAGUUGAUUGGACUUCAGCUUCAUCAAAAACUACCUUGAUCAAAAACUUUAACCUGAAACUCCCACUUUCAUUUUCUAUGUUCAAUGGACCUUGAAAUUGGGGUUAAAAGUCAAAUUUGGCUUUAAAAUUAGAAAGAUCAUAUCAUAAGCAACAAGUGUACUGACUUUCAAGUUGAUUGGACUUCAGCUUCAUCAAAAACUACCUUGACCAAAAACUUUAACCUGAAGCGGGACGAAUGAACUAACGGACGGACGAAAGGAGCCUCAGACCAGAAAACAUAAUGCCCCUCUACUAUCGUAGGAUGGGCAUGAAAAUAUUCCUCUCUAUACUAUCUUUUGUUUGUAAGAAGCUUCUGUCAAGUUUGGUAAAAAUCCAGGAUAGUUUAUGAAUCUAAAAAAUGUUUUAAAAACUUACUGCAGACUGCAUGUAAUGUUAACUGGAAGAAAAACUAAGUCCAUUUAUAGGUAAAAUACGGAAAAACAAGAACAAAAUUUCCUUCUGGAUACUAACUUUUGAUCAUAAACAAGAUUCUGUCCAGGUUUGGUAGAAAUCCAGGAUAGUUUAAGAAAGUUAUUAAAUUUUAAAAACUUUAACCACAGACUGCAUGUAAUGUUUCCUGGCAGAAAAACUAAGUCCAUUUAUAAGUAAAAUACGGAAAAAAAGGAUUAAUUUUUUACAAAAUUAACUUUUGGGUACUACCUUAUGAUCAUAAACAAGCUUCUGUCCAAGUUUGGUAGAAAUCCAGGAUAAUUUUUUUUAAGUUAUUAAAAUUUAAAAAAUUAGAAUGAAUGUAAUGUUUCCUGGCAGAAAAACUAAGUCCAUUUAUAAGUAAAAUACGAAUAUUUUUUUUUUUUUUUUUAAAUCUACUUUUGGAUACUACCAUAACUGUUCUUAUGAUCCUAAACAAGUUUCUGUCCAAGUUAUGGUAGAAAUCCAGGAUAGUUUAAAAAAGUUAUUAAAAUUUCAAAAACUUUAAUCACAGAGUGAAUAUUUGUGGAUGCCUCCGACAGAAUGUAGGAUCGCUAUGUCUCACUGUCUUGCUUUUUCAACAAAAGUCGAACUCGAAAGCUCAACAACAAUACAAAAGUAUAAUAGGUGUACACCUUAAACACCGAUAUAUACAUGUCAGUAAUCAGGUAAUAUUACACAACCUAGAAUUAUACAGUAGGUGCACACCUUUAACAUUGGUGUACAAAAUAGCACAUAAUCUGGAAAUAUAUAAUAAGUGUACAACUUUGACAUCGUUAUAAUCAUAUCAGCAAUAUCACACAACACUAGAAUUAUAUAUUAGGUGUACAACUGUACACCUUUAACACCAGUAUAUUCAUCUCAUAAUGCCACAUCCUAGAAUUGUAUAAAGCAGUUCACUAAGGGUUUAAAAUACAUACACAUCAAAUAAGUAACUUUCAAAUAAAA